UACAGAGGUGCCAAGCGUUAGGCGGAAUCACUGGGCUUAAAGCGUGUGUAGGCGGAUCGUUAAGUACCUUGUGAAAUCCCACGGCUCAACCGUGGAACUGCUGGGUAUACUGGCGAUCUUGAGCCACCUAGGGGCGAGCGGAACAAGCGGUGGAGCGGUGAAAUGCGUAGAUAUCGCUUGGAACGCCAAUGGUGAAAACAGCUCGCUGGGGGUGUGCUGACGCUGAGACACGAAAGCCAGGGGAGCGAACGGG
rnacentral:rRNA from 1 species